GAUUGAUUUUCCCAGUUGUAGGUCAAGCCCUAAUAUCUAUCUAAAAAAAGGCUCAGGAGUUUCUGACAUUGAAAUUGAUAUGAAGUAGCAAUUGAAACUUAGGUGAUAGAGUACCAAUAGCCUGUGGUUAUUGGUGCCUGUCUUAAGGCAGAAACAGGUUAAUAGAACAAAGAGGGUUGCCAUGGUCCGGGGGUGGGAUCAUAGGUCU
rnacentral:lncRNA from 1 species